CGAGCAGGCCGGGCGGUCGCGGGAGCGAAAGCUUCCUGAGGAAAGUCCGGACUCCACAGGGCAUGGGUAGCGGGUAACGCCCGUCCGCCGCGAGGCGAGGACCAGCGCCACAGUGACGAUGCGCCGCAGGGCGCGUGAAACGCGGCAAGCUCUACCCGAGAGCAAGGCCAAAUAGGGAGACCAUGGAGCGGCCCGCUCCGUCUCCGGGUUGGCUGCUAGAGGCGAUCGGCGACGAUCGUUCGAGAGGGAUGACCGCCCUCGCCAGAAUCCGGCUUAGAGGCCUGCUCGGUGU
rnacentral:RNase_P_RNA from 1 species